AUAUCAAUAAGCGGAGGAAAAGAAACUAACAAGGAUUCCCCUAGUAACUGCGAGUGAAGCGGGAAAAGCUCAAAUUUAAAAUCUGGUGGUCUUUGGCCAUCCGAGUUGUAAUCUAGAGAAGUGUUACCCGCGUCGGACCGUGUACAAGUCUCCUGGAAUGGAGCGUCAUAGAGGGUGAGAAUCCCGUCUUUGACACGGACUACCGAGGCUUUGUGGUGCGCUCUCAAAGAGUCGAGUUGUUUGGGAAUGCAGCUCAAAAUGGGUGGUAAAUUCCAUCUAAAGCUAAAUAUUGGCGAGAGACCGAUAGCGAACAAGUACCGUGAGGGAAAGAUGAAAAGAACUUUGGAAAGAGAGUUAAACAGUACGUGAAAUUGCUGAAAGGGAAACGCUUGAAGUCAGUCGCGUUGGCCGGAAAUCAGCCUUGCUUUUUGCUUGGUGUACUUUCUGGUUGACGGGCCAGCAUCAGUUUUGACCGGUGGAAAAAGUCUAGAGGAAGGUGGCAUCUUCGGAUGUGUUAUAGCCUCUGGUCGUAUACAUCGGUUGGGACUGAGGAACUCAGCACGCCGAAAGGCCGGGUCUUUGACCACGUUCGUGCUUAGGAUGCUGGCAUAAUGGCUUUAAUCGACCCGUCUUGAAACACGGACCAAGGAGUCUAACAUGCCUGCGAGUGUUUGGGUGGAAAACCCGAGCGCGUAAUGAAAGUGAAAGUUGAGAUCCCUGUCAUGGGGAGCAUCGACGCCCGGACCAGAAGUUUUCUGACGGCCCUGCGGUAGAGCAUGUAUGUUGGGACCCGAAAGAUGGUGAACUAUGCCUGAAUAGGGUGAAGCCAGAGGAAACUCUGGUGGAGGCUCGUAGCGAUUCUGACGUGCAAAUCGAUCGUCAAAUUUGGGUAUAGGGGCGAAAGACUAAUCGAAC
rnacentral:rRNA from 1 species